rnacentral:rRNA from 1 species
AAUAUCCAUCAAGCACCGCUUGGUAUUGAGCCCAUGCCAUCAUCGAUGGCAGGCUCCAAAGCUAGUGGCGGCGCCGGUGGGGCCUGAACGUAGUAAUAUCUCUCGUUACAGGCUCUCAGCGCGCUUCUGCCCAUUACAUUAACUCCUU